rnacentral:misc_RNA from 1 species
UAAUAAGUGUUUUAUGGCACUUUUUAAAUCCAUAUCCACCUUGGGUGCAAUGUCAGUCGAUCUUCUUCAUGGAGAUCGACCAAACAUCAACCUUUAUCUUUUAACUCUUUGUCUGAAAAAUAUUAUGAAUAAACAAUUCAAAAUA